CACAGAGCAGCAGCGGCCUGGCGAGUUUUAGUAAAUAGUCACAGGGCGCAGCUCAGAAACGAGGAGUGGCCCGAGCCCCCGUGGCCGCAGGACUGUUUGCGAGACUCGGCCUGUGUUCAGCUGGGCCCUGCCUUCUAAGCGCACAUUCACUCACGAACAGCAGUGGCUGAAUCCCCCGAUGAUACACCACCGCAUGACCACUUACCUCUCCAGGAGUCGCUCAUUCCAGUCAAGAAUGAUUCUUGCGAGAACUUCUGCCCCCAGUCCACUGAUCGCUUCCUUACAGCGAACACCUACCUAGCAGGCUUCCUGCCUCCUGAUCGCUUCUGCCCAGUUUCACUGUAGCAGCCACAGAUUCUGCUGGGACGCGGGGCUAUCCCCAUUACCCAUCUGCCUCCAGCCUCCAGGAAACUUUUCAUCUCACUCAAGCAAGAGCAAGUGUCCGUACAUUCUCCACCUCGCUCGCCAGUACCGCCCUCCCUCACCUCUCUGGUAGUCCUCUCUCCUCCUUCUAUUCUUGCCCUGGGCCAGGCCCUUUCUCCUGCUGUUGCUUUUGUCUUGAAAGCGUCUGGAGUUCAUCCAGGUUGUUCCCUCAUCCUCUUCCACAUUUAGUCAGACUUUCUCAGCCUGUUAACCCCACUGUCCAUCUUUUCCCUGAUUUAUUUUCUCCUUUUCACUUCAAUGAUUUAUCUAUUUGGCUCAUUUACCUGUUUUAUCCAUUACUAUAAAAUGUGAGACCCAUGAAA